rnacentral:rRNA from 1 species
UACGUAGGGUCCGAGCGUUGUCCGGAAUUACUGGGCGUAAAGAGCUCGUAGGCGGCUUGUCGCGUCGACUGUGAAAACCCGCGGCUCAACCGCGGGCCUGCAGCCGAUACGGGCAGGCUUGAGUUCGGGAGAGGGAUGCGGAAUUCCAGGUGUAGCGGUGAAAUGCGUAGAUAUCUGGAGGAACACCGGUGGCGAAGGCGGCAUCCUGGACCGACACUGACGCUGAGGAGCGGAAAGCCAGGGGAGCAAACGGGG